rnacentral:rRNA from 1 species
UACGGAGGAUUCAAGCGUUAUCCGGAUUUAUUGGGUUUAAAGGGUGCGUAGGCGGUUUGAUAAGUUAGAGGUGAAAUACCGGUGCUUAACACCGGAACUGCCUCUAAUACUGUUGAGCUAGAGAGUAGUUGCGGUAGGCGGAAUGUAUGGUGUAGCGGUGAAAUGCAUAGAUAUCACGCAGAACCCCGAUUGCGAAGGCAGCAUACCGGUGCACAACUGACGCUCAGGCACGAAAGCGUGGGUAUCGAACAGG